UACAGAGGUGGCAAGCGUUGUUCGGAAUUACUGGGCGUAAAGGGCGCGUAGGCGGCCUUCUAAGUCAGACGUGAAAUCCCCCGGCUUAACCUGGGAACUGCGUCUGAUACUGGGAGGCUUGAGUAUGGGAGAGGGAUGUAGAAUUCCAGGUGUAGCGGUGAAAUGCGUAGAUAUCUGGAGGAAUACCGGUGGCGAAGGCGGCAUCCUGGACCAUAACUGACGCUCAGGCACGAAAGCCAGGGGAGCGAACGGG
rnacentral:rRNA from 1 species